rnacentral:rRNA from 1 species
AACGAACGCUGGCGGUAUGCUUAACACAUGCAAGUCGAACGAACAAAAUUGGGGCUUGCUCCAAUUUUAGUGAGUGGCAAACGGGUGAGUAACACGUGGGAAUCUACCUAUCAGUACGGAAUAACAUUUGGAAACAGAUGCUAAUACAGUAUAUUCUCCAAGGAGGAAAGAUUUAUCGCUGAUAGAUGAGCCCGCGCAAGAUUAGGUAGUUGGUAGGGUAAUGGCCUACCAAGCCUACGAUCUUUAGCUGGUCUGAGAGGAUGAUCAGCCACACUGGGACUGAGACACGGCCCAGACUCCUACGGGAGGCAGCAGUGGGGAAUAUUGGACAAUGGGCGAAAGCCUGAUCCAGCAAUACCGCGUGAAUGAUGAAGGCCUUAGGGUUGUAAGGUUCUUUUAGUUGGAAAGAUAAUGACGGUACCAACAGAAAAAGCCCCGGCUAACUCCGUGCCAGCCGC